rnacentral:rRNA from 2 species
AGUUUUAAGUGAAGAGUUUGAUCCUGGCUCAGAGUGAACGCUGGCGGUAGGCCUAACACAUGCAAGUCGAACGGCAGCACAGGAG